ACACUCUUCACAUCUAUUCUCUAUCAACUCUGAAAUCUUUGGACGGAAAGGGUCUUGGACACCUCACUUCUCUUCAAGAGCUAGAUAUUAACAGGUGUCCAAGUCUGGAAUUCCUGCCAGGAGAGGAACUUCAACACCUCACUUCUCUUCAAAAUCUAUACAUUUGGAACUGUCCCAGUCUUCAAUGCUUGCCAGAAGAGGGUUUUCCAUCAUCUCUUUCUCAUCUGAGUAUCCGCCGGUGUCCUACCCUGGAGGAAAGGUAUAAGAAUAAAACGGGACGAGAUUGGG
rnacentral:lncRNA from 1 species